rnacentral:rRNA from 1 species
AUGUAACCUACCUUGAUCAGGGGGAUAGCCUCUCGAAAGAGAGAUUAAGACCGCAUAACAUUAAGUUGUGGCAUCGCAAUUUAAUCAAAUAUUUAUAGGAUCAAGAUGGGCAUGCGGAACAUUAGCUAGUUGGUAAGGUAACGGCUUACCAAGGCUACGAUGUUUAGGGGAUCUGAGAGGAUGACCCCCCACACUGGUACUGAGACACGGACCAGACUCCUACGGGAGGCAGCAGUAAGGAAUAUUGGUCAAUGGACGGAAGUCUGAACCAGCCAUGCCGCGUGCAGGAAGACGGCCCUACGGGUUGUAAACUGCUUUUGUACCGGAAUAAACCUUGAUACGUGUAUCAAGCUGAAUGUACGGUAAGAAUAAGGAUCGGCUAACUCCGUGCCAGCAGCCGCGGUAAUACGGAGGAUCCAAGCGUUAUCCGGAUUUAUUGGGUUUAAAGGGUGCGUAGGCGGCUUUUUAAGUCAGGGGUGAAAGACGGUAGCUCAACUAUCGCAGUGCCCUUGAUACUGAAGAGCUUGAAUGUACUUGAGGUAGGCGGAAUGUGACAAGUAGCGGUGAAAUGCAUAGAUAUGUCACAGAACACCAAUUGCGAAGGCAGCUUACUAAAGUAUGAUUGACGCUGAGGCACGAAAGCGUGGGGAUCAAACAGGAUUAGAUACCCUGGUAGUCCACGCCCUAAACGAUGAACACUCGAUGUUGGCGAUAUACGGUCAGCGUCUAAGCGAAAGCGUUAAGUGUUCCACCUGGGGAGUACGCCCGCAAGGGUGAAACUCAAAGGAAUUGACGGGGGCCCGCACAAGCGGAGGAGCAUGUGGUUUAAUUCGAUGAUACGCGAGGAACCUUACCCGGGCUUGAAAGUUAGUGAAUAGAGCAGAGACGCUCUAGUUCUUCGGAACACGAAACUAGGUGCUGCAUGGCUGUCGUCAGCUCGUGCCGUGAGGUGUUGGGUUAAGUCCCGCAACGAGCGCAACCCCUAUGUUUAGUUGCCAGCAUUUAAGGUGGGGACUCUAAACAGACUGCCUAUGCAAAUAGAGAGGAAGGAGGGGACGACGUCAAGUCAUCAUGGCCCUUACGUCCGGGGCUACACACGUGCUACAAUGGGCAGUACAGAGGGCCGCUACCUGGCAACAGGAUGCCAAUCUCUUAAAGCUGUUCACAGUUCGGAUCGGGGUCUGCAACUCGACCCCGUGAAGUUGGAUUCGCUAGUAAUCGCGUAUCAGCAAUGACGCGGUGAAUACGUUCCCGGGCCUU